rnacentral:tRNA from 1 species
UGGGGUGUGGCUCAAUGGUACAGCACUUGCCUCACAUGGGUGAGGUACUGGGUUUGAGCCCCAGCACCACAU